AAGCAAAUCCCGAAGGAUCAAGAAAGCUCUCUUCGUUCUUCGUCAAAUCCUCAUUCAAAAUCAAGCCCCAACGGUCCUUGAAGAACUUCCACUAAUUCAAGAUCAAGCCCCGACGGCCCUUGAAGAAAGUGUCCAUCAUUCAUCAUUCGUUCAUCCCUAGAUCAAGCCUCGACGGCCCUUUGGAUCAACAACGUUAACAAAUCCGCAC
rnacentral:lncRNA from 1 species